rnacentral:rRNA from 1 species
UACGUAGGAGACGAGCGUUGUCCGGAAUCAUUGGGCGUAAAGCGCGCGUAGGCGGCCAGAUAAGUCCGGUGUGAAAGUCACAGGCUCAACCUGGGAACUGCGCUUGAUACGGCAGAGCUAGAGGAUGGAAGAGGCUCGCGGAAUUCCCAGUGUAGAGGUGAAAUUCGUAGAUAUUGGGAAGAACACCGGUGGCGAAGGCGGCGAGCUGGUCCAUUACUGACGCUGAGGCGCGACAGCGUGGGGAGCAAACAGG